ensembl:lncRNA
GUGCGUUUUCAUCCCUUCUUGCAGCUGGUAAAAUGAGAACAGGCUCCCAAACUGCAGUUGCACUAACAGAUACCUGAGAAGUCCCCGUUCCACACUGUCCCCUUGUCUGGGCAUUGUCUGGAAGAGUGCCACCUCCUUUCAAGUCAAAACCUUGCCAGCUGCUAUGAUUUGGUAACAAUUUGACAAUAUCAGAGGCAGGAUAAUGCUAGCUUUGCUAAUGUGUAGUCUCAAGCAGCACUGAUGCCAUCAGUGCAUCUGAAAUAAGAAUGUCAUCUGUGGUGAGAAUUAUGGAAGGAUUAAGUGAUCAGUCUCCUGGUAGUAAUCUGUUGAGAUGUUUCAAUUUUAUGAUGAAGUCCACUUCUAUUUUACUUCUUUUUUGCUGUCCUUGCAAUCCCCAGCCCUAGCUCUGUGGCUAAACCAGAAGGACUUCUCUAGACUAGGAGAAGAAGGUAUGGAUGUAUCGUUGGGCUCAGAGAGAGAUCCUUGACAAAGGUAGGUACUGCAAGGCUCACUCAGCAAAUUGCCAGAGAGAGACAGGAAUUGCUAAGAGCCUAGACAAAAAGACUGGGAGAGAUAGGGAGAGACAUCUUCUGGAAGCAGCAAAUAUUUGUGUUUGUGGAGCAGGAGAUUCUGCAGAAGUGAAGGGAGAGGACCUAUUCUCUUAUUCCUUUUUGUUGGUUAAACUGGGAAGUGAGAACACUGUCAUGUUCUCUGUAGUAUGUUUUGUGGCUGCCUCCUCGAGCCUGUAUCCACAUAUCCAAAUGCAAGUGUGAACUGUGUGAAACUUGCCUCUGUAGUGAGCCUUCACAUUUUUGUAUUGAUAGCAUUUUACUGGAAAGGUGCAGUUAUAGAUGCUGUUAUGUUAACCAAAUGCAAAAAUAAUGUUUAACCUAUGGUUAGUUUUUGCAUAUAAAUAAAUGUUGUACAAUAUAUUCUAUUUAAUAAGCAAGAUUCUGCUAUCUAUAAGAUGAUGGUCUUCUCUUGGUAGGUUCUUAAAGGAUGUUUUUGUCAUUAUCAAAAAUGUUAGUCUUUCUCUGUGCCGUGCACUGGGAGGCAGCAAAAGGUGAACGGCACAGAAAAUGAACACAGUGUUCUGAAAGGUAAGGAAGGGAAAACAGUCAUCUAAUAUACUACCUUUCCAUCAGUUUGUUACCUCUGAAUUUCCCGAAUCUUAGUCUAUGGAGUUUCCUCACAUUAUUCUGGCUGUAAAUUAUUUAUAUACAUUUCCCCAUCUUUUAUUGCACUCAGUUUCUCAGCUUCCUGUGGGACAUCACUAGCUUCCAGCAAUGUGCUGAGGCACCACCUCUAGAAUCUGCCAGAAAGGAGAGGAGAUGGAGCUAACAAAGUGAGACUCUGGGAUUUGUGCUAGAAUGGAUCGUCAUAGAUGAAUAACUAACAGCAUUUUCUCUCAUUUCUGAAAAAGCUCUGUAGUUUUGUUGGCAUAAUUCAUUAACCAGCAUUUUUGCACUUCAUUAUUAAAGGUAAAUCUUUCUCCUGUUUUCAUCAAUCUCAAUGAAGAAAUCUGCCAUUCAUUCCCGUUAGAAGGCUGUUUCUCAGAGCAUCUCUGCUGGUAUUUUAUUCCAUUCAGUUUAAAAUACCCUGGAGAAGGAAUAUUUCUCUGAAGGGAUGUGGGAGUGAGGAUACAGCCCAGGCCAUCCUGUGGUCAGAUAUUAAUGAAGAUAGCUCUAUUUUCUUUGCAUCCUAUUAUCGCUGGGUCUGUACAGCUCUUAAUUCUUCUUCCUACUCUGUGUUUCACCUUUCAGACGACUACAGACAUGUAAUUACGCCAAACUUUGGCCAAAAUCAGGUUGUACAAUAUAUUUGUCAAUGAGUAGAGCCAAGUGAACCUCCAUAGGAACUGUAGCAUGCCCAAAUGCUGCAUGGAUCCCACGGUUCUCUGUGGUAUGCUUUGGCAGUGGUAAGUACAAGCAAGGUUUUUCCGUUCCCCUGCCUGUGUACCACUGAAAACUCCCAUUCAAUAGCUCUACAUGUUUCUCAUAGUGCUAUUUGUAUUACUGUUUUUCACUUUUCUGCAACCACAAUGAAAAGCGUUCUCAUAAUUUACUGUAUAAAAUCCAUUUAUGGUGGCAAAAAGUCUGCUUGGGUUCCACAGUUUCUGGAGAUCUCCAUUUUUAAAGUGAGCUAACUAAUGCUAAAUGCUGUCUGAUGACUAAGAUAUAAAAUGUCAUUGAUGGGACUGGAAAGUCUUCUACAGUUCUUAGAACAGUCAAGAUUUAGUUCCUCCUCUGCAAGACAUAUAUCUAGAGGCAGACAGAGAUGAGUAAUCACAUGGUAGUGCUCACGAAUGGCUAUCAAAUGGAAAUUGUUCUUCUUGUGGACUUCUUCAAGCCCACAGCUGCAUUCUUCACUGCUGUGGGACAUCUGAAGUCAAGUCUCGAAUUUGCUGUGGCUGACUUGCAAUCAGACUUACUGACUAGGGUAGGCUGACUUUCAGAAAGUGUAAAAGACAGAACAGCAACUGUGGAAAUAAAAAGAAUGUUUUUUCAUUGCUGGCAGCUUCUUUGCUCUGACCUUUUGACAUCAUUCCAAGGUCAGUUAAAUGCUUCAGAGGAACUGGAGUGAUUAUAAAUCAACUUCGUCAUCAUCCAUAAGGUGGAUGGAGAACAUUUCAUAAAAGUGAAAAAAGGUUUCCAGGGAGAUCUUCUUGGUGAGUGACUUGUCUGAUUGUCAGUUCAUGGACCUUUUCAUGGGAUAAUUUACUGGUUUGUUCAAGUGUUCUUGCACAGACUCAGUGCCCCUGGAUGUUCCUCUUUUGGCACAGUGGUGUCAUGUCAGCCAUGAAGGUGCUCAGCUGGAGUCAUCCUCCUUUGGUUACCCAUCCUCUGGCCCAGUGCAUCAUUUGUUAAGUACUUUUCUCACUCCAGAUUAGAGAAGUCAUUAUAAGGGGAAAGUACUUUUUUACUGUGGUUGAUAAGGGAAGGAAAAAGCAACAAAAACAGAUGAGCCCUAAAUGAAGAUGAUCGUGUUGACUAUAUGAACUAUCUUUGAAGAUUUCUAAACAAUCAGAAACUUGAGUUUGUUUUCAGCAUAUGCUCCCAGGGGAAGGUCAUCUGAUUCAUAUCCGUCAAAUGUUGAAGGGAUGAGUCACAGUCAAACAAAUCACACUUUUCUAACUUGUCUUUACACAUACGGGAAGGAAUAAUCUCUCUUCAUUUAAAAAGAAUUUUCUUUUUUUUCUUGGUAGACAACACUCAAUAACUUAGCCCCAUGUUAUCUGUUUUCCUUGAAUUAUGAAUAUUUAUUCCCCUCCAUAUCCAUAAAUAAUACAUAAUCUACAUAAUCCUCAUUUUUUUUCUCUUAUGACCUUUAUACACAUCCUAUACAUUAAAUUAAACUCCCUCAUAGCUAUGAAAAGCUCUGAUUUCCAAUUGAAACUUAAUUCAACACCUACAAAGAAACUUGUCUUCAAAUAACUAAUACUAGAUGAUAUAUUCCUUACCAGCAGGCAGCUAACACUGAAUAUGAGCAGAAAUAUGCUACUAAAAAAAAAUCUGUUUAUGCCACAGAGUUAAGAUGUGAUAAAAUGUGUAUGUUCCUGUUCCCUCUCUUACUAAUCCCAUUAAUAUAGAGGUGUGAAUAGUGCCCACUGUGUGCAAUACCCCUGACAGGAGACAGUGCAGAUGCAGCACCUACCUUUUUGCUCCAGAAAGCACUCAAAAGAAGACACGAUUGCCCUUUGGCACCUUCGGAGGCUGUUCCAGGAUGCAUCAUCCCCUAGGAAACUGAAAACUUUCUUUUCCUACUCUUCUAAUGUAUACUAAAUUGCCUAAGGAAUCAAUUGGAAGGAGACAACUGUUUUAACAAUAAUCAUCUCUUACCAUUUAAAAAAUACAUGAAUUCAGUUUCACCCCCGUGCACCCCAAACAGUGCUCAGGGAGGAUCUUAGCUACUACACAUUAAGAAUCUGGACUGCUGUCUGAAACCUAAACUAUUCUGAGUUUGAUAAAUAUCCCCAUUUUAGAGAAAAAAAGUAUCCUGAUGUACAAAGGAUGAAUCCAGGACAAUUAAUCAUAGGACAUAUCUGGGGCCACAGCCAGAUCUUCUGACUCACAGUGCUUCCUUUUAGUCGUAGAAAAAAAAAACUUAUUUAUUUUUCAUAAUUACAUCACAUAAUUAUUUAUAAAAAGUCAUACAAAAGAACAGUUAAAAAGUUGAUACAAACUUU